UUUCUUUUUAUAGGUAAGUUGAGUCCAUUAAUAUUGAGAGAUAUUAAUGACAGAUGACUGGUGGUUCCUGUUAUAUUUGUUUUUGUACCUUGCUUUAUAUGCUUGUGGUUCUCUCCUUUUGGCUUAAUAUCUUAUCUUUUCUUUGGUGUAGGUACCGUCUUUGUGUUGGAGUUCUCCUUCUAGGAUCCUCUGUAGGGCUGAAUUGGUAUAUAGAUACUGUUUCAAUUUGGUUUUGUCUGGAGUAAUUUGGUUCCUCCAUCUAUGUUGAUUCAGAGUUUUCCUGGGUGUAGUAUCCUGUGCUGGCACUUUUGUUCUCUUCCAGUCUGCAUGACCUCUGACCAGGCUCUUCUGGCUUUUACAAUCUCUGUUGUGAAGCCUGGUGUAAUUCGGAUAAGCUUACUUUUGUAUGUUACUUGGUCUAUUUCCCUUCAGCUUUUUUUUUUCCUUUUCUUUUUUUCAGAUCUGGGGACCGAACCUAGGGCCUUGCGCUUGCUAGGCAAGCGCUCCACCACUGAGCUAAAUCCCCAACCCCUCCCUUCAGCUUUUAAUAUUCUUUAUUCUAUGCAUUUAGUGUUUUGAUUAUUAAGUGAUUAAGGGAUUUUCUUUUCUUGUUCCAUUAGUUUGGUGUUCUACAGGAUUUUUGUAUCUUUAUGUCCUUCUCUUUCUUUUGGUUGGGUAAGUUUUCUUCUAUGAUUUUGUUGAAGAUAUUUUCAGGCCCUUUAAGCUGGGAAUUUUUGUUCUCCUCUAUUCCUAUUAUUCUUAGAUUUGAUCUUUUCAUUGU
rnacentral:lncRNA from 1 species